GGAGGAUGCGAGCGUUAUCCGGAUUUAUUGGGUUUAAAGGGUGCGUAGGUGGUUUGUUAAGUUUGUGGUGAAAGCGUGCGGCUCAACCGUACCAAGCCAUGAAAACUGGCGAACUUGAGUGCAAACGAGGUAGGCGGAAUGUGAUGUGUAGCGGUGAAAUGCUUAGAUAUGUCACAGAACCCCCAUUGCGAAGGCAGCUUACCAGCAUGCAACUGACACUGAGGCACGAAAGCGUGGGUAUCAAACAGGAUUAGAUACCCUGGUAGUCCACGCAGUAAACGAUGAAUACUAGCUGUUGGCGAUAUAAUGUCAGCGGUACAGCGAAAGUGUUAAGUAUUCCACCUGGGGAGUACGCCGGCAACGGUG
rnacentral:rRNA from 1 species